CUGGCGGCUGCCUAACACAUGCAAGUCGAACGAACCCUUCGGGGUUAGUGGCGCACGGGUGCGUAACGCGUGGGAACCUGCCUUUAGGUUCGGAAUAACUCAGAGAAAUUUGAGCUAAUACCGGAUGAUGUCUUCGGACCAAAGAUUUAUCGCCUUUAGAUGGGCCCGCGUUAGAUUAGAUAGUUGGUGGGGUAAUGGCCUACCAAGUCGACGAUCUAUAGCUGGUCUGAGAGGAUGAUCAGCCACACUGGGACUGAGACACGGCCCAGACUCCUACGGGAGGCAGCAGUGGGGAAUAUUGGACAAUGGGCGAAAGCCUGAUCCAGCAAUGCCGCGUGAGUGAUGAAGGCCUUAGGGUUGUAAAGCUCUUUUACCAGGGAUGAUAAUGACAGUACCCUGGAGAAUAAGCUCCGGCUAACUCCGUGCCAGCAGCCGCGGUAAUACGGANGGAGCUAGCGUUGUU
rnacentral:rRNA from 1 species